rnacentral:lncRNA from 1 species
GAUUGUCUGUUGACUGCCACUUAUCUUCUUAACAAAAUACCUUCCAGAAUUCUUCACAAUAAGUCUCCUCAUGAAAUUUUGUAUGGGAAAGUUCCACCCUAUUCUCAUUUGAGGGCAUUUGGGUGCCUUGCUUAUGCUGAUGUCCCAAUUCCUCAAAGGGACAAGUUAAAGCCUAGAGCCCUCUCUUGUGUUUUUCUGGGUUACCCCUUUACCAAAAAGGGUUAUAAACUGUAUGAUCUGGUUUCCAAGAAAUGUUUGGUCUCCAGGGAUGUUGUAUUCCAUGAAACUUGUUUUCCUUUUAAGAAUAAACCUUCUUCUGCUCACCCUUCUCCUUCAUCUUUUCCUUCUAUUCCUCCUGCUGAACAUUCCACUGACAUAGAUUUUCCUAUACAUGCUUCUUCCCCUCCUUCCCCUACAUCUGAUUCUCUUGUUCCUGAUUUUACUGAUGCUGCUCCAUCUUCCCUUCCUUCUUUCAAUCAUGAUAUAUCUCCCUCUGUUUUACCUCCUUCACACCCUCUUCCUGCUCCUAGAAAGUCCACUAGACAGCAUAAUCCUCCUUCCUAUCUUAAGGAUUAUGUCUGCCAACUCCCUGCCUUUUCUGGUUCCUCUUCUUCUACUUUGGAAUCUGAACCUUUGUAUUACUCUCAAGCUGCAGCUGUCCCAGCAUGGCAGGAUGCCAUUAGACAGGAGUUUGAUGCUUUGUAAGCUAACUAUACCUGGGAUGUUGUUCCUCUUCCUCCUAGUAAGAAACCCAUUGGCUGUAAAUGGGUCUAUAAAAUCAAAUACAAGGCUGGUGGUAUUGUUGAAAGGUAUAAAGCCAGGCUUGUUAUUAGGGGUGAUACUCAAGUUGAAGGGAUUAAUUUUACUGACAUCUUUUCUCCUGUGAUUAAGAUGACCACUGUGAAAUGCCUUAUUGAUGUGGCUGUCAAGAAUCACUGGCCUCUGUUUCAACUUGAUGUUAAUAAAUUUUAAUGAUACCUUUUCUCCUGUGAUUAAGAUGACCACUGUGAAAUGCCUUAUUCUUGUGGCUGUCAAGAAUCACUGGCCUCUGUUUCAACUUGAUGUCAAUAAUGCUUUUCUCCCUGGGGAUUUGGAUGAGGAAGUUUAUAUGAAACUUCCCCCAGGUUUGACAGUUUCUGCCCCUCUUCCUAGUUCUGUUUCUACUCCCUCUUCAUCUUCUCCUCAUCUGGUAUUGUAAACUCAGGAAAUCCCUGUAUGGGCUAAGACAGGCAUCCAGACAAUGGUAUGCCAAGUUGUCUUCUGCUCUUUAUUCCAGAGGGUAUACACAUUCUUUGAAUGACUAACAAUGGUAUGCCAAAUUGUCUUCUGCUCUUUAUUCCAGAGGGUACAAACAUUCUUUGAAUGACUAUUCUUUGUUCAUCAAAGGUAAACCUGGGUUCCUUGUGGUUGUGGCAGUCUAUGUGGAUGAUAUUAUCCUUACUGGGGUUGGCAAUGAUGAGAUUACUGCCCUGAAACUGUUUCUGGAUGAUCAGUUUAAAAUAAAAAACCUAGGAUCUUUGCAUUAUUUUUUGGGCCUUGAAAUGUCAGUUGUUCCUGGUGGAAUGAUCCUUAAUCAGCAAAAGUAUAUUUCUGAUUUACUGCAUCAAUUUGAUUGUGCAAAUGUCUCCUCUGUUGUUUCUCCUUUGGACAUUAAUGUCAAACUUCAUGCUGAUUCUGGUGACCUUUUAUCCUUUCCUGACCAGUACAGGAGUCUUGUUGGUAAGAUGUUGUUUCUGACUCAUACUAGGCCUGACAUAUGCUUUG